rnacentral:rRNA from 1 species
AUGUGAUCGUCUCUCGCAUAUCAAUAAGCGGAGGAAAAGAAACUAACAAGGAUUCCCUUAGUAACGGCGAGUGAAGCGGAAGAGCUCAAAUUUGAAAUCUUCAAGGUUUUACCUUGACGAAUUGUAGUUUAAAGAAGUGUUUUCUGUUGAAGUUUUGGUAAAAGUUCUUUGGAAUAGGACAUCAUAGAGGGUGAGAAUCCCGUAUUUGACCAUUAUUUUCAGCUGUGUGAUACACUUUCAAAGAGUCGGAUUGUUUGGGAAUGCAGUCCAAAAUGGGUGGUAAAUUUCAUCUAAAGCUAAAUAUUGGCGAGAGACCGAUAGCGAACAAGUACCGUGAGGGAAAGAUGAAAAGAACUUUGAAAAGAGAGUUAAACAGUACGUGAAAUUGUCAAAAGGGAAGCGUUUGACACCAGUGUUGUUUUCUCGAAAAUCAAUUAAAAAGAGUUAGAUUUUGUUGUGUAUUGACCUUAACAGCUUGCAUUUCAAUUUUCUUGCUUUUUUUAAUGCACUUUUCGUUUAACAAGUCAACAUCAGUUUCUUUUGUUGUAAAAAGGUCAUUGGAAGGUGGCUUUCUUUUCGGAGAAAGUGUUUAUAGCCUUUGACUCCUGCAAUCGGAGAGACUGAGGUCUGCAGCGUAGAUCCUUCGGGGUUAGAUACAUUUGUGCUAAGUUAUAGCUUUUUAUAGACAACUUGUUGACUAUGAUUAGUCUUGUAGCUUACUCGCUUAUGCUAUUUUACCUACGCUUAGGAUGUUGAAGAUGUAGCACAUCAU